rnacentral:rRNA from 1 species
GACGAACGCUGGCGGCGUGCCUAACACAUGCAAGUGGAGCGACGAACCAGGGCUUGCCCUGGGGCCAAGCCGCGAACGGGUGAGUAACACGUGGGUAACCUGCCCCGAUGACCGGGACAACUCGAGGAAACUCGGGCUAAUACCGGAUGUACUCCUCGCACAAAAGUGCAAGGAGUAAAGGAAGCUUCGGCCUCCGCGUCGGGAGGGGCCCGCGGCCCAUUAGCUAGUUGGUGAGGUAACGGCUCACCAAGGCAACGAUGGGUAGCUGGUCUGAGAGGACGAUCAGCCACACUGGGACUGAGACACGGCCCAGACUCCUACGGGAGGCAGCAGUGGGGAAUCUUGCGCAAUGCGCGAAAGCGUGACGCAGCAACGCCGCGUGGGGGAAGAAGGCCUUCGGGUUGUAAACCCCUUUCAGGAGGGACGAAGGCAGGGCAGUGAACAGCUGUCCCUACUGACGGUACCUCCAGAAGAAGCCCCGGCUAACUACGUGCCAGCCGCCGCCGUAA